rnacentral:rRNA from 1 species
AUACGGAGGGGGCGAGCGUUGUUCGGAAUUAUUGGGCGUAAAGGGCGCGUAGGCGGCCUUGUAAGUCGGUUGUGAAAUCCCUUGGCUUAACCAAGGAACUGCACCCGAAACUGCAGGGCUAGAGUCCGGGAGAGGGUAGUGGAAUUCCCAGUGUAGCGGUGAAAUGCGUAGAUAUUGGGAGGAACACCAGUGGCGAAGGCGGCUACCUGGACCGGUACUGACGCUGAGGCGCGAAAGCUAGGGUAGCAAACAGAAUUAGAAACCCCGGUAGUCC